rnacentral:rRNA from 1 species
UACGAAGGGGGGCUAGCGUUGCUCGGAAUCACUGGGCGUAAAGCGCACGUAGGCGGAUCUUUUAAGUCAGGGGUGAAAAUCCUGGAGCUCAACUCCAGAACUGCCUUUGAUACUGGGGAUCUCGAGUCCGGAAGAGGUGAGUGGAACUCCGAGUGUAGAGGUGAAAUUCGUAGAUAUUCGGAAGAACACCAGUGGCGAAGGCGGCUCACUGGUCCGGUACUGACGCUGAGGUGCGAAAGCGUGGGGAGCAAACAGG